rnacentral:lncRNA from 1 species
GGGAGUGAGGGGAGGACGAAGUGCCAUAAGCACUUUUCCUGUGAUUGUUUUAUGUGCUGCUCACUUUUUAAUCUCUAGUGUUUUCUCUGGAAACCGGCCCUCUACUUGACUUAAAAUGCCAGCACCCAUAUAGGAAAGCAGAUGUAAUUUUGCCAAAUGCCUUUUUAAUCAUCAAGGACUGGUUUCUUCUGAGCGGAAAUGUACCUUGGGACAGCAUGCAGUGUGGGCACCCUGCUCAAGCGUGCUGUCCCCCCGCUGUUGGGGAUGAGUGUGCAGGGCGAGUGUGCGAGUUGGCAGACAGUGUCCUCUGAAGAUUUAUCCCGGCUCUGAUUUCAGACGCAUGGGACAGGUAUGAGUCUUCUGGAUGUUUGACAGUGCAGACUUUUGAAACUAAACUCGAGCAUAAUUUUAGUCACUAGGUUUUGCUCUGUCAAGUUAAAAGCUUUGUGCACCAUCUGACACUGGAAUUAAGCGCAAAGCAUGUUAGAUACAGGGAGAUGUGGGGAGGGAAAGGUCACACUGUUUUUAGCUAGUUUCUAAAGGCCAGCUUAAUGGGAGUUGGCCCUGCAACGUUCCAUUCUGUUCUUUUCCAUUCUUUUCUAGGAAUAGCCCCUGCUUAUUUUUAGGUUGUUACGUAAGAAGUAUAAAAUGCAUUUGCUUUAGU